rnacentral:lncRNA from 1 species
GGGGGGAUAGGGAGGGGCUGAACACACCAAUUCCCACCCCCGGUGGCAGCCCUACCUCUCCCAUAACUCUGUUUUCUCCUCAGAUCGGUUCCGGCAGCACUUGGCGAAGCCCUGCUAGCACUGCUCCACCAUCAUCUCCACCAUGCCGUGGUGCUGGUUGAGAUCCCAUCUAUUUAUCCUUCCUCUCUAUCUGGAUCAAGAAGGAGGAGACGUCAUCGAGACAUACCUGUGCUGAACGCGGAGGUGCCGUCCGUUCGGCACUAGAUCGGGAAGGAUCGUGAUGGGAUCGCGGGACGAACCGUGAUGGGAUCGCGGGAUGAAUCGUGAUGGGAUCGCGGGAUGGGCUGCGAUUUGGAUCGCGAAGAUGUUCCACUACAUCAACCGCGUUAUAUACUCUUACGCUUAGCGAUAUACAAGGGUAUGUAGAUACAGUCUCUCCUCUCGUAGAUGGUCAUCACCAUGGAUAGGUCUUGCGUGUGCGUAGGAAAUUUUGUGUUUCCCAUGCAACAUUCCCCACCAGUGGCA